rnacentral:rRNA from 1 species
GAUUAUAUGCUUGUCUCUAAGAUUAAGCCAUGCAUGUCUAAGUACAAACUGAAUAAAAGUGAAACCGCGAAUGGCUCAUUAAAUCAGCUAUGAUUCAUUGGAUCUGUACCACUAAUCCUACUUGGAUAUCCGUGGUAAUUCUAGAGCUAAUACAUGCCUCGAGUCCAUGGAGCUACUGCUACCUUCUCUUUGGAGGAGGAUGUAGUUCUGUGGCGCAAUUAUUAGAAUCAGAAACCGGUAUUAUGGGCUCCGGUCCAUAAAAACCUUAGUAUGAUGACUCUGGAUAACAUUUAGCUGAGCGCAUUGUCUUUGCACUUUGGCGCCGCUUCUUUCAAGUGUCUGCCCUAUCAGCUCUAGAUUGUAAGUUAUGUGCUUACAAUGGCUAUAACGGGUAACGGGGAAUCAGGGUUCGAUUCCGGAGAGGGAGCCUGAGAAACGGCUACCACAUCUAAGGAAGGCAGCAGGCACGCAAAUUACCCACUCCCGGCACUGGGAGGUAGUGACGAAAAAUACCGAUGCAAGACUCAUCCGAGGCCUUGUAAUUGGAAUGAAUAAACUGUAAACACUUUAAUGAAGUGUCUAUUGGAGGGCAAGUCUGGUGCCAGCAGCCGCGGUAAUUCCAGCUCCAAUGGCAUAUAUUAAAGUUGUUGCGGUUAAAAAGCUCGUAGUCCAACUACUUGUUUGGGCUGGAUCUCGUGGACUGUAAGUUCCUUUAAUUAGGCUGUCCAUGGCCACGCUCAACCAAUCAACCGCUUCAACCUAUAAUAUGGUUUGGCUAUACAUAGCCGGCUCACACGGGGAUGCUCUUGACCGAGUGUCCCUGAGUGGCUGGCCUGUUUACUUUGAAAAAAUUAGAGUGCUCAAAGCAGGCAACCAAUUGGGCCUGAAUGGUUAUGCAUGGAAUAAUGAAAUAUGACUUCUGGUCCAUUUUUUUUCUCAUAGAGAGAGAUACUGAUCAUUUCAAGAUCAACAACAAUCACUAUCUUGUGUACCGGUUUUCCAAAGGAUACUGAUGAUGGUGAUGAGUAUGUGCCUCACGGCGGCCAGUGUCCAGUAGUAGUAGUAGUACUAUGUCCUACCUACUUACUUACUGCCUGGCCUGUGUUGAUGUGUGCCAUCUCAUCUUAGUCAUAUCUGUGGGAACCAGUUGUAAUGAUCAAUAGAGACUGCUGGGGGCAUUUGUACUGAGGCGCGAGAGGUGAAAUUCUGUGACCGUCUCAAGACAAACAACAGCGAAGGCAUUUGCCAAGGAUGUUUUCACUGAUCAAGAACGAAAGUUAGAGGUUCGAAGGCGAUCAGAUACCGCCCUAGUUCUAACCGUAAACGAUGCUAACCAGCAAUCCGCCGGUUGUUAUACCAAUGACCUGGCGAGCAGCUUCCGGGAAACCAAAGUCUUUGAGUUCCGGGGGAAGUAUGGUUGCAAAGCUGAAACUUAAAGGAAUUGACGGAAGGGCACCACCAGGAGUGGAGCCUGCGGCUUAAUUUGACUCAACACGGGAAACCUCACCAGGUCCGGACACUAGAAGGAUUGACAGAAUGAAAGCUCUUUCUCGAUUCAG